CACAAACCCCUCCACUAAAUAGACAUUCACCACUUAUGAAUAAAUAUACUUUCAUAAACCAGCAUCUCUUCCCCAAGCAAUACACACUCCAUUUCAUAUCUAAGUUGCAGGAUCAUAUAUAGCAUCUUUUGCUCUAGCCAUACACAUGCAUCUCUACAAAAUAUUAAAGUUUAAAUAAAUAAAUAUCAAGAUGAGAUUAAUAACCAAACAUUGGGUAAGCAAAAUGACAAUGAAACUGACUAAACACUAUCUCAGGUCUCUUUGCAAGGUUACAUCCAAGCACACGAAAAUAAUAUCAAAUUGAAACCUCAGGAAAAGGUGGCAGACAUGAAUUUAACCGUAUUUGACCUGCCCCCAGCAAAUGACCCCACAAUUAGAUUUGCGUACUCUGUUAAAUCAAAUAGAGACAGCAUGAAUUCAAAUGUUAGUUACCCUGCUCCUCAGAGGGUUUACAGGAAAGAGUGCACUUUCAGAAUAGAAAUCUUAAUACAAUUUUGUGACAACAAAAGAAUCUAGAUUGUUUCAUGGCUUAAUAUGACAAGACCUUGUCAUUUUACUCUUAACGAAUGAUGUAGGUUACUUGCACUGAUGAAACAAGAAGUUUAGGUGAAAUUUCCCGCUGCAUUGUAAUCAUAGUACAUCUUCAAAGCUUGGUCCAAAAAUUAAGAUCGUUGUCAUUUAUUUGUAAGGUAAUUGUAGUUUUUCACAAAAUAUCAAACAGCCUAUUAAUCCUCCAUCGAUUUCUUCCAGAAACAUUUUUUUUCUUAACAUAAUUAUUAACCAAAGUCUUUUUGAAGCUCGUUAUCUACAUAUCAUAUGAAUUAUUUGAGUAUGAACACAAAAAUAAAAGGGAAGUUAAUAGCAAACCUGAUGAUUUUCAUACUGAUUCAGAACAUUGAACGACUGAGACUAAAAUAACUCUUUCCAAGUCAAAGAGAAGAACCUAUCUUUCCAUUUCUAUUCCUUUCCCCACCAUUCUUGAAAGGUAGGUAUCCAAAAAAUGCAUCUUACAUCUUACACCAGCAAGUAACAAGGAUUUCCCAAAUCUUUUUAAACAUUGAGCAACUACAUCAAUUGAGUACAGCAGAAGAUGAAAAUAAAUUUCCAGUUAUGGAUUAUAGGAUGGUCUGUGGAGAAAAACCCAAAAUUUGUAUUUCACCACCCCUAUUUUGUCAGCCAAUUUUCAAAAGUAAUAUGCCUUUUUUUUAUGUACUUCAAUAAAUGCGUAUUUCUUCCUGGUAUCCUAAACUUUUUGAACGAGCAGGGUUCCAACUGCAUACUAGCUUCCACUUGGUACAUCAGCAAUGCUAAGAUUCACUAAUAUUGUCAUUGGUCAUAUUCAACGAGAAUUCUUCUGUCAUAGGCAUAGUUCGAACAUGAUCAAGGAGCCUAAACUUUUUGAAU
rnacentral:misc_RNA from 1 species